rnacentral:ncRNA from 1 species
GAUGAAUUAUGCGGGGAGUAAUUUAUGAAUACAAAACCCCGGCAUUGAUCGAUUGCAUGAAAGAGUGGGUUCCAAUCAAACAUGUUCAACAUGAACGUAGGCAGUGAAUUUGCAACAAACAUCUUGCCGGACGCAAUCAUGUUGGCGCGUUG